GCUCGUGUGGCCAAGUUGGUAAGGCGCCUGACUAGUAAUCAGGAGAUCCGUAGUUCGAAUCUGCGUACGAGCA